GGCUCGUCUCGGCACCGUGUUCUGCCGUCAUCUCGUCGGGUAGAGGCGUUUUACUGCGAGACACCAUGCUGCACAGCGCAGUCUCAGUACCGCGGGCUUCAGAUAUACAGGCUAAUAUGGAAUAAGGCAGCAGAAACUGGCCAUGCUGUGUGGACGUGCGUGGGGAUGGCAGCACAUUUGAUUGAGAAUGUACGUCUGUGGAAACUACUGCUGAUGAACAAGCCCACAGAUGAAGAUAAUGAUUCAUGAUGACGGCAAUAACGGCUAUUAUGCUCUCCUGAAACCAGGCCGGAUCUCUGCCCACUGCCACGGACCCUAACCUCUCACUUGGAACGCCCGGCUUUUGGAUUUGGACCUCUCAAGGACCCGCUCUCCACGGAUUACGGACCCUGGAAAACCACGCUCGGACUUCUUUUGGAUCACAGACCAUGGACACCUUUGCCUGCACGCACAUUUUAUACAGUGGAUACGACAUUUACAUACCGCACCACACGUAGAGUAAAUGCUUACACAUAGCCUAGACACACAACCCGCUGGUCGUCACACAUAGUUAGACACACAUCCCACAAACGAAGAUUAACAACGCACCACACACUAUACACUUUAUUCUCGUGUUUUUCCUUGUUUCAUUUUGUUAAUAAAUCCGCCCUCCCGGCGGCUAAAUAUUCCGCUGCCUCUGAACUGCCUCUUUAGGUUCCGCUCCGGCCG